UACGUAGGGGGCAAGCGUUGUCCGGAUUUAUUGGGCGUAAAGAGCGUGUAGGCGGCCAGACAGGUCCGUUGUGAAAACUCGAGGCUCAACCUCGAGACGCCGAUGGAAACCGUCUGGCUAGAGUCCGGAAGAGGAGAGUGGAAUUCCCGGUGUAGCGGUGAAAUGCGCAGAUAUCAGGAGGAACACCGGUGGCGAAGGCGGGUCUCUGGGCCGAUACUGACGCUGAGGAGCGAAAGCGUGGGGAGCGAACAGG
rnacentral:rRNA from 1 species